GAGGGUAUAGUUCAGUGGUUGAGAACAUGUUUAGCAUGCAUGAGAUCCUGGGUUCAAUCCCCAGGUCCUCC
rnacentral:tRNA from 1 species